rnacentral:rRNA from 1 species
GAUGAACGCUAGCGAUAGGCUUAACACAUGCAAGUCGAGGGACCGGCGCACGGGUGCGUAACGCGUAUGCAACUUGCCUCACAGAGGGGGAUAACCCGUCGAAAGACGGACUAAUACCGCGUACUGUGAGAUAGGCAGGCGUCCCAUGAGCUAGUUGGUGAGGUCACGGCUAACCAAGGCAACGAUGGGGAGUGGAACUGAGAGGUGGACCCCCCACACUGGAACUGAGACACGGACCAGAAUGCGACGGGGGGCAGCAGUGAGGAGUAUUGGGCAAUGGGCGAGAGCCUGAACCAGCCAAGUCGCGUGAAGGAUGACUGGCUAUGGAUUGUAAACUUCUUUUGUAGGGGAAUAUGUACCCUACGAAUAAGCAUCGGCUAACUCCGUGCCAGCAGCCGCGGUAAUAC